GAUGAACGCUGGCGGCGUGCCUAAUACAUGCAAGUCGAGCGAAUGGAUUAAGAGCUUGCUCUUAUGAAGUUAGCGGCGGACGGGUGAGUAACACGUGGGUAACCUGCCCAUAAGACUGGGAUAACUCCGGGAAACCGGGGCUAAUACCGGAUAACAUUUUGAACCGCAUGGUUCGAAAUUGAAAGGCGGCUUCGGCGGUCACUUAUGGAUGGACCCGCGUCGCAUUAGCUAGUUGGUGAGGUAACGGCUCACCGAGGCAACGAUGCGUAGCCGACCUGGGAGGGUGAUCGGCCACACUGGGACUGAGACACGGCCCAGACUCCUACGGGAGGCAGCAGUAGGGAAUCUUCCGCAAUGGACGAAAGUCUGACGGAGCAACGCCGCGUGAGUGAUGAAGGCUUUCGGGUCGUAAAACUCUGUUGUUAGGGAAGAACAAGUGCUAGUUGAAUAAGCUGGCACCUUGACGGUACCUAACCAGAAAGCCACGGCUAACUACGUGCCAGCAGCCGCCGUAA
rnacentral:rRNA from 1 species